rnacentral:rRNA from 1 species
GGCGAAAAGAACCCCGGCGAGGGGAGUGAAAAAGAACCUGAAACCGUGUACGUACAAGCAGUGGGAGCCUCUUAAUGGGGUGACUGCGUACCUUUUGUAUAAUGGGUCAGCGACUUAUAUUCUGUAGCAAGGUUAACCGAAUAGGGGAGCCGAAGGGAAACCGAGUCUUAACUGGGCGUUAAGUUGCAGGGUAUAGACCCGAAACCCGGUGAUCUAGCCAUGGGCAGGUUGAAGGUUGGGUAACACUAACUGGAGGACCGAACCGACUAAUGUUGAAAAAUUAGCGGAUGACUUGUGGCUGGGGGUGAAAGGCCAAUCAAACCGGGAGAUAGCUGGUUCUCCCCGAAAGCUAUUUAGGUAGCGCCUCGUGAAUUCAUCUCCGGGGGUAGAGCACUGUUUCGGCAAGGGGGUCAUCCCGACUUACCAACCCGAUGCAAACUGCGAAUACCGGAGAAUGUUAUCACGGGAGACACACGGCGGGUGCUAACGUCCGUCGUGAAGAGGGAAACAACCCAGACCGCCAGCUAAGGUCCCAAAGUCAUGGUUAAGUGGGAAACGAUGUGGGAAGGCCCAGACAGCCAGGAUGUUGGCUUAGAAGCAGCCAUCAUUUAAAGAAAGCGUAAUAGCUCACUGGUCGAGUCGGCCUGCGCGGAAGAUGUAACGGGGCUAAACCAUGCACCGAAGCUGCGGCAGCGACACUAUGUGUUGUUGGGUAGGGGAGCGUUCUGUAAGCCUGUGAAGGUGUACUGUGAGGUAUGCUGGAGGUAUCAGAAGUGCGAAUGCUGACAUAAGUAACGAUAAAGCGGGUGAAAAGCCCGCUCGCCGGAAGACCAAGGGUUCCUGUCCAACGUUAAUCGGGGCAGGGUGAGUCGACCCCUAAGGCGAGGCCGAAAGGCGUAGUCGAUGGGAAACAGGUUAAUAUUCCUGUACUUGGUGUUACUGCGAAGGGGGGACGGAGAAGGCUAUGUUGGCCGGGCGACGGUUGUCCCGGUUUAAGCGUGUAGGCUGGUUUUCCAGGCAAAUCCGGAAAAUCAAGGCUGAGGCGUGAUGACGAGGCACUACGGUGCUGAAGCGACAAAUGCCCUGCUUCCAGGAAAAGCCUCUAAGCAUCAGGUAACAUCAAAUCGUACCCCAAACCGACACAGGUGGUCAGGUAGAGAAUACCAAGGCGCUUGAGAGAACUCGGGUGAAGGAACUAGGCAAAAUGGUGCCGUAACUUCGGGAGAAGGCACGCUGAUAUGUAGGUGAAGCGACUUGCUCGUGGAGCUGAAAUCAGUCGAAGAUACCAGCUGGCUGCAACUGUUUAUUAAAAACACAGCACUGUGCAAACACGAAAGUGGACGUAUACGGUGUGACGCCUGCCCGGUGCCGGAAGGUUAAUUGAUGGGGUUAGCGGUAACGCGAAGCUCUUGAUCGAAGCCCCGGUAAACGGCGGCCGUAACUAUAACGGUCCUAAGGUAGCGAAAUUCCUUGUCGGGUAAGUUCCGACCUGCACGAAUGGCGUAAUGAUGGCCAGGCUGUCUCCACCCGAGACUCAGUGAAAUUGAACUCGCUGUGAAGAUGCAGUGUACCCGCGGCAAGACGGAAAGACCCCGUGAACCUUUACUAUAGCUUGACACUGAACAUUGAGCCUUGAUGUGUAGGAUAGGUGGGAGGCUUUGAAGUGUGGACGCCAGUCUGCAUGGAGCCGACCUUGAAAUACCACCCUUUAAUGUUUGAUGUUCUAACGUGGGCCCCUUACCGGGGUUGCGGACAGUGUCUGGUGGGUAGUUUGACUGGGGCGGUCUCCUCCUAAAGAGUAACGGAGGAGCACGAAGGUUGGCUAAUCCUGGUCGGACAUCAGGAGGUUAGUGCAAUGGCAUAAGCCAGCUUGACUGCGAGCGUGACGGCGCGAGCAGGUGCGAAAGCAGGUCAUAGUGAUCCGGUGGUUCUGAAUGGAAGGGCCAUCGCUCAACGGAUAAAAGGUACUCCGGGGAUAACAGGCUGAUACCGCCCAAGAGUUCAUAUCGACGGCGGUGUUUGGCACCUCGAUGUCGGCUCAUCACAUCCUGGGGCUGAAGUAGGUCCCAAGGGUAUGGCUGUUCGCCAUUUAAAGUGGUACGCGAGCUGGGUUUAGAACGUCGUGAGACAGUUCGGUCCCUAUCUGCCGUGGGCGCUGGAGAACUGAGGGGGGCUGCUCCUAGUACGAGAGGACCGGAGUGGACGCAUCACUGGUGUUCGGGUUGUCAUGCCAAUGGCACUGCCCGGUAGCUAAAUGCGGAAGAGAUAAGUGCUGAAAGCAUCUAAGCACGAAACUUGCCCCGAGAUGAGUUCUCCCUGACUCCUUGAGAGUCCUGAAGGAACGUUGAAGACGACGACGUUGAUAGGCCGGGUGUGUAAGCGCAGCGAUGCGUUGAGCUAACCGGUACUAAUGAACCGUGAGGCUUAACCUU